CUCACCUCUCACCCUCUCUUUCGAUUAACUUUACACUUGUCGGAGAACCCCAAGGUCGCCGGAAAACCUCGAAGAGCCGAGCGGAGAUCGACGGAAUCUUCUCGACUCGUUUCGUGAGGGUUCGUUGGGGUUAUUAACGAAGAACCAUAGCCUUGCCGGAGAUCGACGGCGACGAUGGAGACAACCGAAGCUCACCGGAGCCGCCCGAUAUCCGUUUCGUUCAUUCUGUUGGAUUUUUCUCAAUCUUUACUCGUGCUUCGCUUACAAGAAAUCGCAACGCAACCAAUGUGA
rnacentral:lncRNA from 1 species